AUUGGUCUGAACCUUCUUCAUCGUUAAAACAAAUAUGGCGACCACGUUGCGAGAAUGCAGAGUGCAGGCAGAGUGUUAAGAGGCACUUAUUUACGUCAAGAAUUCGUACCGUACUAAAACAAGAAAACAAAAGCACAAGUACAAACAUGGUACAAAGAACCAUGGAUUAUGGUCGGGGAGAAGAAAAUAUUUUCGCACAGUUCAGGGUCUCCUCAGUAAGUUUAGUUUUAGCGGUUUUAGUGAGAAUUGUAGAACUUCAGCGAAGAGUGUGGUGAGUAAAAGUGGAGUGUAGAAAUUCAAAUGUUAUAAAUAUGGUCGGGAAUAGUUGUACAGAAAAGAAAGACAAUUUUUGAAUAAAUUUAUGAAGAGGUUGCAAAAUGUGUGAUAUGCAGGAAGCAGGAUAGCAGCCAGAGGACAUAAUUUACUGGCUUAGAACAUUGGAAACUAGAAAACUGCAGGAAUCUGUUGAUGUCACACCAUGUUCUUUUAACUUAUGACUUGAAAGGAAUAUUGCAUUAAAAGAGAAAUAUGCUAGUGGCUUUGGCUACAACAGUAACUCCACAUAUUCUUCUGUAUUCAUCGAGCAGCCUUAAUUGGAUAUGGGAGCAGGAGUUCUCACCUUUCAAUAUUCCAUCUCCCAGAAGUUCCCCUAGCCCUGUUAAGGAUCAAAGACUGACGCCGAUCAUCACCCGAUCAGAUUUGGAGUUUUUAAUUGUAGCUGUAUGUGGUGUGUUGGCGGCUUCUUGGUGAAGACGGGAUGAUCAUGAUUUGACCCAUCCCCAGGAACGUCAACCUAAAGAAAUAAAGGCCAGUUUGCAUUUUCUUCACGCUCGAAGGUCGAAACAAAAACGUAAAACGUGUCAUGCGACGGGGGAGAGGUUGGGUGAGGACGACACGUGUUGCAUCAUAAUCAAGCAGGUACAAUAGCCGCAAGGCUUAAGAUGU